GGUGAACGCUGGCGGCGUGCCUAAUACAUGCAAGUCGAGCGAACGGACGAGAAGCUUGCUUUUCUGAUGUUAGCGGCGGACGGGUGAGUAACACGUGGAUAACCUACCUAUAAGACUGGGAUAACUUCGGGAAACCGGAGCUAAUACCGGAUAAUAUUUUGAACCGCAUGGUUCAAAAGUGAAAGACGGUCUUGCUGUCACUUAUAGAUGGAUCCGCGCUGCAUUAGCUAGUUGGUAAGGUAACGGCUUACCAAGGCAACGAUGCAUAGCCGACCUGAGAGGGUGAUCGGCCACAUUGGAACUGAGACGCGGUCCAGACGACUACGGGAGGCAGCAGUAGGGAAUCUUCCGCAAUGGGCGAAAGCCUGACGGAGCAACGCCGCGUGAGUGAUGAAGGUCUUCGGAUCGUAAAACUCUGUUAUUAGGGAAGAACAUAUGUGUAAGUAACUGUGCACAUCUUGACGGUACCUAAUCAGAAAGCCACGGCUAACUACGUG
rnacentral:rRNA from 1 species